rnacentral:tRNA from 1 species
GAGAGAUAAGUAUAUGGUUAGUGUGCAGUUAGUUUGAAACUAAUUGGGGGGGGUUAGAGUCCUCCAUCUCUUG